UACGUAGGUGGCAAGCGUUGUCCGGAAUUAUUGGGCGUAAAGAGCAUGUAGGCGGGAAUCUAAGUCUGUUGUGAAAAUGCGGGGCUCAACCCCGUAUUGCGAUGGAAACUGGGUUUCUUGAGUGCAGGAGAGGAAAGGGGAAUUCCCAGUGUAGCGGUGAAAUGCGUAGAUAUUGGGAGGAACACCAGUGGCGAAGGCGCCUUUCUGGACUGUGUCUGACGCUGAGAUGCGAAAGCCAGGGUAGCGAACGGG
rnacentral:rRNA from 1 species